AUGGAGAUCCCUGACCAGCAGCCUGCGGUCGCAGUCGCAGAGAUGGAAGCCCCUGACCAGGAGAAUCCUUGCGCCAUCUGCCUCGGCGGCAUGGCCGCCGGCGGCGGGCAGGCCACCUUCACGGCGGAGUGCUCCCACACCUUCCACUUCAACUGCAUCUCCGCCAGCGUCGCGCACGGCCACCUCGUCUGCCCGCUCUGCAACGCGCGCUGGCGAGAGCUGCCCUUCCUGCGACCCACCGCGCCGGUGCCGCAGCCGCCUACGCUGCCUAGGCUGGGUCGUCCCGUUCCCAUGCACGGCGUGCAGCCUCCGAGCGAGCCGACAGCAUCGCCUCCUCUCAUGCAUGGCGGGAUGCCUCCGUUCCCAGCGCAGGCGCCACCGCCGCCGCGCGGGCAUAUCAUGCAGCAUCACCAGCCGCCGCCGCCGAACGUGCAUGUCGUGCAGCAUCAUCAGCCGCCGCCGCCCGUGCAUACCGUGCAGCAUCAUCAGCCCCCGCCGCCCGAGCCUACGGUCGUCUUCGACGACGACGAGCAGGUGGAGCCGGCCUCCAGGCCGCCAGCUGACAGCACACCGGCAGCUGCAUCGAACGGGGCAGUGGUCGUCAACACGCACGCCGAGUACUCGGCCGUCGCCAGGGACUCGUCCAGCGACAACUUCGCCGUGCUCGUGCACGUCAAGGCUCCCGCGAUGGCCGACACCGUGGCGGCCGGCAGCGACAAGCCGCCCCCGCGCGCGCCGCUGGACCUCGUGACCGUGCUCGACGUCAGCGGCAGCAUGAGCGGCCACAAACUGGCGCUCCUGAAGCAGGCCAUGCGGUUCGUCAUCGACAACCUCGGCCCCAACGACCGCCUCUCCGUCGUGUCCUUCUCCUCCGAGGCGCGCCGGCUGACCAGGCUCACGCGCAUGUCGGACGCCGGGAAGGCACUGGCCGUGAGCGCCGUGGAGUCCCUCGCGGCGCGCGGCGGCACCAACAUCGCCGAGGGGCUCCGCACGGCCGCCAAGGUGCUCGACGAGCGCCGGCACAGGAACGCCGUCUCCAGCGUCGUGCUCCUCUCCGACGGUCAGGAUACCUAUACCAUGAUGAGGCGCCGGGGACCGUCCGGCGUCCAGGCCAACAACUACGAGGAGCUCGUCCCGCCCUCCUUCGCACGCACGGGCGCUGACGGCGAGUGGUCCGCGCCGAUCCACACCUUCGGCUUCGGGAACGACCACGACGCGGCCGCGAUGCACGUCAUCGCCGAGGCGACGGGCGGCACGUUCUCGUUCAUCGAGAACGAGGCUGUGAUACAGGACGCGUUCGCGCAGUGCAUCGGCGGCCUGCUCUCCGUCGUGGUCCAGGAGGCGCGCAUCGCCGUCGCGUGCGUGCACCCCGGGGUCCGUGUCGUCUCCGUCAAGUCCGGCCGUUACGAGAGCCGCGUCGACGAGGACGGCUGCGCCGCAUCUGUCCGAGUCGGGGAGCUCUACGCCGACGAGGAGAGGCGUUUCUUGCUCUUUCUGACCGUGCCAAGAGUCGAAGCGACGGACGGCGACACCACUGCUCUUGCGAGAGUGGUCUUCAGCUACAGAAACGCGGCGAGCGGCGCGGAGGUGAGCGUGACGGCCGAGGACACGGUGGUGGCGAGGCCAGAGCACGCGCCGAGCGCGUCGGAGCGCUCAGUGGAGGUGGAGCGGGAGCGCGUCCGGGUGGAGGCGGCAGAGGACAUCGCGGCGGCGAGGGCAGCGGCGGAGCGGGGCGAGCACCAGGAAGCGGUGGAGAUCCUCGACAACCGUCAGCGGGCGCUGGAGCAGUCGGAGGCGGCAGGGGACGGCGACCCCAUGAUCGUGGCGCUGGGGGCGGAGCUGCAGGAGAUGCGCGGGCGCGUGUCGAACCGGCAGAGCUACAUGCGGUCGGGGCGGGCGUACAUGCUGGCCGGCAUGAGCGCGCACCAGCAGCAACGCGCCACCUCCAGGCAGAUGCUGGAGCCGGAGGAGCAGCAGACGUCGAUGAUGGCGAGGAAUAGUGGAGUGAGGAGGAUGAUCAGAAGAGGAGUGGGGUCGAGCGGCGGGGGAUAUAUGGCGGCAGCGGCGCCCGUGGCCGAGGCGUCGAACGAGGCGACGAUGUCGUACGCGACGCCGGCCAUGCGCGCCAUGCUGCUGCGCUCGCGGGAGGCGCGUGGGGCGUCGGCCGAGCAAGGGCAGCAGGAGGAGCAGCAGCCCAUGGCCGGAAAAGACGAUGCCGGGAGCUCGGGCCCGAAGGACGUGAACCAAUAG
rnacentral:rRNA from 1 species